AUUGAACGCUGGCGGCAGGCCUAACACAUGCAAGUCGAGCGCGAAAGGUUUUCGGACUGAGUAAAGCGGCGGACGGGUGAGUAAUGCAUGGGAAUCUGCCUGGUAGUGGGGGACAACGUUUCGAAAGAGACGCUAAUACCGCAUACGCCCUACGGGGGAAAGGGGGGGAGUCUUCGGACCUCUCGCUAUCAGAUGAGCCCAUGUCAGAUUAGCUUGUUGGUGAGGUAAAGGCUCACCAAGGCGACGAUCUGUAACUGGUCUGAGAGGAUGAUCAGUCACACUGGAACUGAGACACGGUCCAGACUCCUACGGGAGGCAGCAGUGGGGAAUAUUGGACAAUGGGGGGAAACCCUGAUCCAGCAAUGCCGCGUGAAUGAAGAAGGCCUUAGGUUGUAAAGUUCUUUCACCUGUGGAGAUAAUGACGGUAGCAGGAGAAGAAGCCCCGGCUAACUCCGUGCCAGCAGCCGCGGUAAU
rnacentral:rRNA from 1 species